GAUGAAAAACGUAGCGAAAUGCGAUACGUAGUGUGAAUUGCAGAAUUCAGUGAAUCAUCGAAUCUUUGAACGCACAUUGCACCUCUCGGUAUUCCGGGAGGUAUGCCUGUUCGAGCGUCAUUUGUACCCUCAAGCUCUGCUUGGUGUUGGGUGUUUGUUCCGCCUCUGUGUGUGAACUCGCCUCAAAACAAUUGGCAGCCGGCGUACUUGUUUCGGAGCGCAGCACAUUUUGCGAUCCAGAUCAACGUACAGCGGCAUCCAAGAAGCCUUAUUUAACGCUCUUGACCUCGGAUCAGGUAGGGAUACCCGCUGAACUUAAGCAUAUCAAUAAGCGGAGGA
rnacentral:misc_RNA from 1 species